UACAGAGGGGGCAAGCGUUGUUCGGAAUUACUGGGCGUAAAGGGCGCGUAGGCGGCCUGUUAAGUCGAACGUGAAAUCCCCGGGCUUAACCCGGAAAUGGCGUUGGAAACUACCUUGCUUGAGGGUUGGAGGGGGGACUGGAAUACUUGGUGUAGCAGUGAAAUGCGUAGAUAUCAAGUGGAACACCAGUGGCGAAGGCGAGUCCCUGGACAACUCCUGACACUGAGGCACGAAAGCUAGGGGAGCAAACGGG
rnacentral:rRNA from 1 species